UACGAAGGGGGCUAGCGUUGCUCGGAAUCACUGGGCGUAAAGGGUGCGUAGGCGGGUCUUUUAAGUCAGGGGUGAAAUCCUGGAGCUCAACUCCAGAACUGCCUUUGAUACUGAGGAUCUUGAGUUCGGGAGAGGUGAGUGGAACUGCGAGUGUAGAGGUGAAAUUCGUAGAUAUUCGCAAGAACACCAGUGGCGAAGGCGGCUCACUGGCCCGAUACUGACGCUGAGGCACGAAAGCGUGGGGAGCAAACGGGGAUAGAU
rnacentral:rRNA from 1 species